GGGCUAGCGGCAUGCAUUAACAUGCAGUCGAGCGGCAGCACGAGAGAGCUUGCUCUCUUGGUGGCGAGUGGCGGACGGGUGAGUAAUGUAUCGGAACGUGCCCAGUAGCGGGGGAUAACUACUCGAAAGAGUGGCUAAUACCGCAUACGCCCUACGGGGGAAAGGGGGGGAUCGCAAGACCUCUCACUAUUGGAGCGGCCGAUAUCGGAUUAGCUAGUUGGUGGGGUAAAGGCCUACCAAGGCGACGAUCCGUAGCUGGUUUGAGAGGACGACCAGCCACACUGGGACUGAGACACGGCCCAGACUCCUACGGGAGGCAGCAGUGGGGAAUUUUGGACAAUGGGGGAAACCCUGAUCCAGCCAUCCCGCGUGUGUGAUGAAGGCCUUCGGGUUGUAAAGCACUUUUGACAGGGAAGAAAUGACAGGAGCUAAUAACUUCUGUAGAUGACGGUACCUGUAGAAUAAGCACCGGCUAACUACGUGCCAGCAGCCGCGGUAAUACGUAGGGUGCAAGCGUUAAUCGGAAUUACUGGGCGUAAAGGGUACGCAGGCGGCUAGGAAAGACAGAUGUGAAAUCCCAGGGCUCAACCUUGGAACUGCAUUUGUAACUACCUAGCUAGAGUAUGUCAGAGGGGGGUAGAAUUCCACGUGUAGCAGUGA
rnacentral:rRNA from 1 species